rnacentral:misc_RNA from 1 species
GAUGAAGAACGCAGCAAAAUGCGAUAAGUAAUGUGAAUUGCAGAAUUCAGUGAAUCAUCGAAUCUUUGAACGCACAUUGCGCCCGCCAGUAUUCUGGCGGGCAUGCCUGUUCGAGCGUCAUUUCAACCCUCAAGCCCUCGGGUUUGGUGUUGGGGAUCGGCGAGCCUUUCUGGCAAGCCGGCCCCGAAAUCUAGUGGCGGUCUCGCUGCAGCCUCCAUUGCGUAGUAGUAAAACCCUCGCAACUGGAACGCGGCGCGGCCAAGCCGUUAAACCCCCAACUUCUGAAUGUUGACCUCGGAUCAGGUAGGAAUACCCGCUGAACUUAAGCAUAUCAAUAACGGGGA